GGGGAAUAUUGGACAAUGGGCGCAAGCCUGAUCCAGCCAUGCCGCGUGAGUGAUGAAGGCCCUAGGGUUGUAAAGCUCUUUCAGUGGGGAAGAUAAUGACGGUACCCACAGAAGAAGCCCCGGCUAACUUCGUGCCAGCAGCCGCGGUAAUACGAAGGGGGCUAGCGUUGUUCGGAAUUACUGGGCGUAAAGCGCACGUAGGCGGAUUUUUAAGUCAGGGGUGAAAUCCCGGGGCUCAACCCCGGAACAGCCUUUGAUACUGGAGAUCUGGAGUCCGAGAGAGGUGGGUGGAAUUCCGAGUGUAGAGGUGAAAUUCGUAGAUAUUCGGGGGAACACCAGUGGCGAAGGCGGCUCACUGGCUCGGGACUGACGCUGAGGUGCGAAAGCGUGGGGAGCAAAC
rnacentral:rRNA from 1 species